rnacentral:rRNA from 1 species
AGAGUUUGAUCCUGGCUCAGGAUGAACGCUAGCGGCAGGCUUAAUACAUGCAAGUCGAGGGGCAGCGGGGUAGCAAUACUGCCGGCGACCGGCAAACGGGUGCGGAACACGUACGCAACUUUCCCAAAACUGGUGAAUAGCCCUGCGAAAGGAGGAUUAAUACACCGUACCAUAUAGAGCAGGCAUCUGCUUUAUAUUAUAGCUUCGGCGGUUUUGGAUGGGCGUGCGGCUGAUUAGGUAGUUGGUAAGGUAACGGCUUACCAAGCCUACGAUCAGUAACUGGUGUGAGAGCACGACCAGUCACACGGGCACUGAGACACGGGCCCGACUCCUACGGGAGGCAGCAGUAAGGAAUAUUGGUCAAUGGACGCAAGUCUGAACCAGCCAUGCCGCGUGCAGGAUGACGGCCCUCUGGGUUGUAAACUGCUUUUAUCUGGGACGAAAAACGGGUUUUUUAACUCACUUGACGGUACCAGAGGAAUAAGCACCGGCUAACUCCGUGCCAGCAGCCGCGGUAAUACGGAGGGUGCAAGCGUUAUCCGGAUUUACUGGGUUUAAAGGGUGCGUAGGUGGGUAGGUAAGUCAGUGGUGAAAUCUUCAAGCUUAACUUGGAAACUGCCAUUGAUACUAUUUAUCUUGAAUACUCUGGAGGUAAGCGGAAUAUGUCAUGUAGCGGUGAAAUGCUUAGAUAUGACAUAGAACACCAAUUGCGAAGGCAGCUUACUACAUAGUUAUUGACACUGAGGCACGAAAGCGUGGGGAUCAAACAGGAUUAGAUACCCUGGUA